UGCGCGCACCUGAUGAUCGCCCGCCUAGGCGGGAGGAAAGUCCGAACACCGAGAUCGUGGCAACACCAUGAUCUAAAAAGAAUAGUGGGUAACGCCCACCCGUUCAGGGCAAAAAAGCUUGCUUUGCACAUAACGCAGAAAUGCGUUUUUAAGGAGAGCAAGGUCAUGAACGAGGGAAAGUGCCACAGAAACGAAACCGCCCCGCAAUGCGGGGUAAGGAUGAAAAGAGUGGUGUAAGAGACCACAACCACAGCUCGUGAGAGCCGUGGGAAGGUAAACCCUAUUCCGGUGAAAGGCCAAAUAAUGGUAGGCCGUUAGAGGCGCACAGCAAUGUACGCCCUAGAUAGAUGAUCAUCGCCCCCGCGAGGGGGAACAGAAUUCGGCUUAUAGGCAUGCGCAAGGG
rnacentral:RNase_P_RNA from 2 species